UGUCUAAUUAAAACAAAGCAUUGCGAUGGUCCCCACGGGUGUUGACGCAAUGUGAUUUCUGCCUAGUGCUCUGAAUGUCAACGUGAAGAAAUUCAAAAAAAGCGCGGGUAAACGGCGGGAGUAACUAUGACUCUCUUAAUACAUCUUUUAAGGAGCCAUAGUUAUAGGAACGGUGAUGCGUAAUA
rnacentral:ncRNA from 1 species